rnacentral:rRNA from 1 species
CAGCCGUAAACAAUGUGCGUUAGGUGUGUCGGUAACCACGUGUUACUGAUGCGCCGAAGAGAAAUCGUGAAACGCACCACCUGGGAAGUACGGUCGCAAGGCUGAAACUUAAAGGAAUUGGCGGGGGAGCACCACAACAGGUGGAGCCUGCGGUUUAAUUGGAUUCAACGCCGGACAUCUCACCGGAUAAGACAGCUGAAUGAUUGUCAAUCUGAAGGUUUUACAUGACUAGCUGAGAGGAGGUGCAUGGCGUCAGUGACUGU